GAGCUGAUCUUGGUUCUCUGCCUCGUAUAGAUUUGACAACUGGUCUCUAAGCUUUGCAGUCCAUCCACCAAGAACCUUUAUGAGAACCGCAACAUGAUGGUUCCCAUCUAGAGGGCUUGAAGAAA
rnacentral:sRNA from 1 species